AGAAUCAACGCUGGCGGCGUGCCUAACACAUGCAAGUCGAACGAGAAAGGGGUAGCAAUACCCUGAGUAAAGUGGCGCACGGGUGAGUAACACGUGACUAACCUACCCUUGAGUGGGGGAUAACUGAGGGAAACCUUAGCUAAUACCGCAUAAUACCCACGGGUCAAAGGAGCAAUUCGCUUGAAGAGGGGGUCGCGGCUGAUUAGCUAGUUGGCGGGGUAGCGGCCCACCAAGGCUUAGAUCGGUA
rnacentral:rRNA from 1 species